GGACGAAUCGUAUAGUGGUUAUUAUUUCUGCCUUCCAAGCAGAAGACGUGGGUUCGAUUCCCGCUUCGUUCA
rfam:Lodderomyces elongisporus NRRL YB-4239 supercont1.15 genomic scaffold, whole genome shotgun sequence.